rnacentral:rRNA from 1 species
UGAUGACGAGAUGCUACGGCAUUGAAGCAGUGUAUGUCAGACUUCCAAGAAAAGCUUGCAAUGUCAUAAAUAAAUAAUGCCUGUACCAUAACCGACACAGGUGGGUAGGCAGAGUAUGCUAAGGGGCGCGAGAUAACUCUCUCUAAGGAACUCGGCAAAAUGACUCCGUAACUUCGGGAGAAGGAGUGCCUUAUUUAUAAGGUUGCAAUAACAAGAUCCAAGCAACUGUUUACCAAAAACACAGGUCUCCGCUAAGUCGUAAGACGAUGUAUGGGGGCUGACGCCUGCCCAGUGCCAGAAGGUUAAAGAAGUUGGUUAGCAUUUGCGAAGCUGAUAACCGAAGCCCUGGUGAACGGCGGCCGUAACAAUAACGGUCCUAAGGUAGCGAAAUUCCUUGUCGGGUAAGUUCCGACCCGCACGAAAGGCGUAAUGAUUUGGAUACUGUCUCAGAGAGGGGCUCGGUGAAAUAGACUUGUCUGUGAAGAUGCGGACUACCUGCACCUGGACAGAAAGACCCUAUGAAGCUUUACUGUAACUUGAAAUUGAAAUUGGACUUUAUUUGCGCAGUAUAGGUGGGAGGCGUUGAGUUUAUUCUUGCGGGAAUUUAGGAGCCAUCAGUGAGAUACCACUCUGGUAAUGUUAGAUUUCUAACUUUGGAUCAUAAUCUGGUUAAAGAACAGUUUCAGGCGGGCAGUUUGACUGGGGCGGUCGCCUCCUAAACGGUAACGGAGGCGUACAAAGGUUUCCUCUGAACGUGUAGAAAUCGUAUCUAGAGUGUAAAGGCAUAAGGAAGCUUGACUGUGAGACUUACAAGUCGAGCAGGGACGAAAGUCGGUCUUAGUGAUCUGACGGUGCUGAGUGGAAAGGCCGUCACUCAACGGAUAAAAGUUACUCUAGGAUAACAGGCUGAUCUCCCCCAAGAGUUCACAUCGACGGGGAGGUUUGGCACCUCGAUGUCGGCUCAUCGCAUCCUGGGGCGGUAGUACGUCCCAAGGGUUGGGCUGUUCGCCCAUGAAAGCGGUACGCGAGCUGGGUUCAGAACGUCGUGAGACAGUUCGGUCCAUAUCCGGUGUAGGCGCUAGAAUAUUGAGAGGAGCCUUCUUUAGUACGAGAGGACCGAGAAGGACAUACCUCUGGUGUACCAGUUAUCGUGCCAACGGUAAACGCUGGGUAGCUAUGUAUGGAGAGGAUAACCGCUGAAAGCAUCUAAGUGGGAAGCCCACCUCAAGAUAAGUAUUCUC